GAUGAACGCUGGCGGCGUGCCUAAUACAUGCAAGUCGAGCGAACGGACGAGAAGCUUGCUUCUCUGAUGUUAGCGGCGGACGUGUGAGUAACACGUGGAUAACCUACCUAUAAUACUGGGAUAACUUCGGGAAACCGGAGCUAAUACCGGAUAAUAUUUUGAACCGCAUGGUUCAAAAGUGAAAGACGGUCUUUCUGUCACUUAUAGAUGGAUCCGCUCUUCAUUAGCUAGUUGGUAAUGUAACGGCUUACCAAGGCAACGAUGCAUAGCCGACCUGAGAGGGUGAUCGGCCACACUGGAACUGAGACACGGUCCAGAAACAUACGGGAGGGAGCAGUAGGGAAUCAUGCGCAAUGGGCGAAAGCGUGACGGAGCAAGGAGGAGUGAGUGAUGAAGGUCUUCGGAUAGUAAAACACUGUUAUUAGGGAAGAAAAAAUGUGUAAGUAAAUGUGCACAUAUUGACGGUAACUAAUCAGAAAGCCACGGCUAACUACGUG
rnacentral:rRNA from 1 species